GAUUAACGCUAGCGGCAGGCAUAAUACAUGCAAGUUGAACGGCAGCACAGGUAGCAAUACUGGGUGGCGAGUGGCGCACGGGUGCGUAACACGUAUGCAACCUACCCUAUACAGGCGAAUAACCUUUAGAAAUGAGGGCUAAUACGCCGUAGUAUUACAGAUGGGCAUCUAUUUGUAAUUAAAGAUUUAUCGGUAUAGGAUGGGCAUGCGUCCCAUCAGUUAGUUGGUAAGGUAACGGCUUACCAAGACGAUGAUGGGUAGGGGAUCUGAGAGGACUUACCCCCACACUGGUACUGAGACACGGACCAGACUCCUACGGGAGGCAGCAGUAAGGAAUAUUGGGCAAUGGCCGCGAGGCUGACCCAGCCAUGCCGCGUGCAGGAAGACGGCCUUAUGGGUUGUAAACUGCUUUUAUACGGGAAUAAUAGAGUGUACGCGUACAUUUAUGCAAGUAUCGUAUGAAUAAGCAUCGGCUAACUCCGUG
rnacentral:rRNA from 1 species